AUCAGGCCUUGAUAAAUGCGGCGGCUGAAAUCGAUCGUCAUUAGCAUGUCGCGCCCUUAAAUAUUCAUGGUUCAGAGGCCUCGCCCUGUGAGGUCGCAACAUGGAGGGGAGAAAUAUUGCAAAGAAAAGAAACUUUUCCGAGCUGGAAAUCGACACCCUCAAGUCUGAGGUGGAGGUAAAUGAAGACGUGCUUUUUGGAAGUUUAGAAACUGGCAUUAAAGGAGCCCAUAAAAACGCUGUCUGGAAGAAGAUCACGGAGGCAGUCAACAGCGUCGCCAAUAAGUCAAGAAAAAGUGGUCAGACUUAAAGCUGGCAACAAAAAGCUUUUAGGCGCAGCAACACGCAGAUUGGAGGAGGCCAGCCAGACCCCAGCCUGACCCUGACGAGAACCGUGGAAAGAAUCUCCUCACUAAUCGUGUCAGAAUCUCUCUGGCAUAAGUGGUGGUGGUGGAGACACAGGCGCACGUGCAUCGGAGCCGGAGCAGAACGAGCCAGGCACCUGCGGCAUGGCGUCCAGGUCCUCUCCCCAGAGCGGUCCCACCGAGCCAGGCAGGCGAGCGCGUGCCCUCCGCCUCCCGUGCUUGGCCAGUCAUCACGGCAGAGGUCCUGGAAAGGCAGACAGAAAUAUGCCAUUUAUUGGCUUCAGUUAGCACGCUAGAGACAAUUAAUAACACGCUAAAAUAAAUUAACUAGAAUCUAAAAAAAAAAC